rnacentral:rRNA from 1 species
GAAGGGGGCUAGCGUUGCUCGGAAUCACUGGGCGUAAAGGGCGCGUAGGCGGCUGAUUUAGUCGAGGGUGAAAGCCUGUGGCUCAACCACAGAAUUGCCUUCGAUACUGGUUGGCUUGAGACCGGAAGAGGACAGCGGAACUGCGAGUGUAGAGGUGAAAUUCGUAGAUAUUCGCAAGAACACCAGUGGCGAAGGCGGCUGUCUGGUCCGGUUCUGACGCUGAGGCGCGAAAGCGUGGGGGAGCAAACAGGAUUAGAUACCCUGGUAGUCCACGCUGUAAACGAUGAAUGCUAGCCGUUGGUCUGCAUGCAGGUCAGUGGCGCCGCUAACGCAUUAAGCAUUCCGCCUGGGGAGUACGGUCGCAAGAUUA